rnacentral:rRNA from 1 species
AUUGAACGCUGGCGGCAGGCCUAACACAUGCAAGUCGAGCGGAGCGGCGGACGGGUGAGUAAUGCCUAGGAAUCUGCCUGGUAGUGGGGGAUAACGUCCGGAAACGGGCGCUAAUACCGCAUACUCUCAGAUGAGCCUAGGUCGGAUUAGCUAGUUGGGGGGGUAAAGGCCUACCAAGGCGACGAUCCGUAACUGGUCUGAGGGGAUGAUCAGUCACACGGGAAGUGAGACACGGUCAAGACUCGUACGGGAGGAAGAAGGGGGGAAUAUUGGAAAAGGGGGAAAAGCCGGACACGGCCAUGCCGCGGGGUUGAAGAAGGUUUUCGGAUGGUAAGGCACUUAAAGUUGGGAGGCGUUACCAACAGAAAAAGCACCGGCUAACUUCGUGCCAGCAGCCGCGGUAAUAC